AGCGCAAUCCCAGACAUGGAUACCAUACAUCCUAAUUGGUUUCAACAUGGCUUUGUAUAGUAGUAAUUUGUUGUUUAAUGACAAUUUGGAUGUCCUACCAAGGAGCCAGUACAUUUGUCUGAACUUGAGAUCCAACUGUCUGCAUUUCAUUUGGAGGUGUUUGUUCCAUGUUAUCCUUUGGUUGAUAUGCAAUCCAAAUGGUAUUAACAAUAUAAACAGGUUAAUACAAUAAAACAAAGGUUUAAGUAUUUAUUUUUUAAAAUUUAAUCCUUUAUGUAUUAGAAUCUAUAAAGUUUUGAACCAAAAGUAUUAAUUACACUUUCAUUU
rnacentral:lncRNA from 1 species